rnacentral:rRNA from 1 species
GACGAACGCUGGCGGCGUGCUUAACACAUGCAAGUCGAACGGGCCUUGUCCCCUUUUUUUUUGGGGGUGGGGUUAGUGGCGAACGGGUGAGUAACACGUGAGUAACCUGCCCCUCACUUCUGGAUAACCGCUUGAAAGGGUGGCUAAUACGGGGUGUUCUGGCCUGCUCGCAUGGGUGGGUUUGGAAAGAUUCGACCGGUUUUGGUUGUUUUGGUGGGGGUUGGGCUCGCGGCCUAUCAGCUUGUUGGUGGGGUGAUGGCCUGCCAAGGCUUUGACGGGUAGCCGGCCUGAGAGGGUGGGCGGUCACACUGGGACUGAGACACGGCCCAGACUCCUACGGGAGGCAGCAGUGGGGAAUAUUGCACAAUGGGCGCAAGCCUGAUGCAGCGACGCCGCGUGAGGGAUGGAGGCCUUCGGGUUGUGAACCUCUUUCGCCAGUGAAGAAGGUCCUGCUCUUUGUGGUGGGGUUGACGGUAGCUGGGUUAAUGAAGCGCCGGCUAACUACGUG